ensembl:lncRNA
UUUUCUUUUGUUAAUUUUCAACAUGAUAAUAAUGGUAAGGACCAGCUGAUACUUUGUUUUAUUUUAUCCAAUUUCAGAGAUGACUACCCUCAACAAGAUGAAGCAAUUAUUUCUCUCUUUAUUUGGUGUUUUCAGAGACCAUUAAGCUUAUUUUGUCCUCAUUGGAAAACAAAGCAAUUUUCUAGUCAAGGUUUAAAAAAAAAGAAAAAACAUCUGGACUCUGUUUCUCCUUCUCUGAGACUACUUUCAGGCAUGUGAAGAUUCUGGAAUUUAACAAAAUUACUUAUUUACUAAUGAGCUGUCUAUCUUUUCUUAUUGUCAUGUCAUCAGGAGUUACUUAACUCUAUAAAAUUUUCUUCGUUUUAAAAUUCAGUCUACAUCCACAUAACCAAUUGAAUAACUUCUAUUCACAAAACAAUCCAAAUGCUGUAUCUUACAGUGAACAUCAGUAUAUAAAUGACUCCAAAAUAAAUAUUAUAAUAUCUAUAAAUGAUAAAGAUAUAGAUGAAAUUAUUUGGUCGAUCUAAUCAA